UACAGAGGGGGCAAGCGUUGUUCGGAAUUACUGGGCGUAAAGGGCGCGUAGGCGGCCUGUUAAGUCGGACGUGAAAUCCCUCGGCUCAACCGGGGAACUGCGUCCGAUACUGGCGGGCUUGAAUUCGGGAGAGGGAUGUGGAAUUCCAGGUGUAGCGGUGAAAUGCGUAGAUAUCAGGAGGAACACCGGUGGCGAAGGCGGCGUCCUGGACUGGUACUGACGCUCAGGAGCGAAAGCGUGGGGAGCGAUCCGG
rnacentral:rRNA from 1 species